rnacentral:snoRNA from 1 species
GUGCUGUGAUGCUUUCUAUCAACACAUCAUUCUGACCCAAAACCGGGGAGAGAGUUUCUACCACUGAGCACA